rnacentral:rRNA from 1 species
AGAGUUUGAUCCUGGCUCAGGACGAACGCUGGCGGCGCGCCUAACACAUGCAAGUCGAACGGAGCUUAGAGAGCUUGCUUUUUAAGCUUAGUGGCGAACGGGUGAGUAACGCGUGAGUAACCUGCCCUAGAGUGGGGGACAACAGUUGGAAACGACUGCUAAUACCGCAUAAGCCCACGGUACCGCAUGGUACUGAGGGAAAAGGAUUUAUUCGCUUUAGGAUGGACUCGCGUCCAAUUAGCUAGUUGGUGAGGUAACGGCCCACCAAGGCGACGAUUGGUAGCCGGACUGAGAGGUUGAACGGCCACAUUGGGACUGAGACACGGCCCAGACUCCUACGGGAGGCAGCAGUGGGGGAUAUUGCACAAUGGGGGAAACCCUGAUGCAGCGACGCCGCGUGGAGGAAGAAGGUUUUCGGAUUGUAAACUCCUGUCGUUAGGGACGAUAAUGACGGUACCUAACAAGAAAGCACCGGCUAACUACGUGCCAGCAGCCGCGGUAAAACGUAGGGUGCAAGCGUUGUCCGGAAUUACUGGGUGUAAAGGGAGCGCAGGCGGGAAGACAAGUUGGAAGUGAAAACCAUGGGCUCAACCCAUGAAUUGCUUUCAAAACUGUUUUUCUUGAGUAGUGCAGAGGUAGAUGGAAUUCCCGGUGUAGCGGUGGAAUGCGUAGAUAUCGGGAGGAACACCAGUGGCGAAGGCGGUCUACUGGGCACCAACUGACGCUGAGGCUCGAAAGCAUGGGUAGCAAACAGGAUUAGAUACCCUGGUAGUCCAUGCCGUAAACGAUGAUUACUAGGUGUUGGGGGAUUGACCCCCUCAGUGCCGCAGUUAACACAAUAAGUAAUCCACCUGGGGAGUACGACCGCAAGGUUGAAACUCAAAGGAAUUGACGGGGGCCCGCACAAGCAGUGGAGUAUGUGGUUUAAUUCGAAGCAACGCGAAGAACCUUACCAGGUCUUGACAUCCGAUGCAUAGCACAGAGAUGUGUGAAAUCCUUCGGGACAUCGAGACAGGUGGUGCAUGGUUGUCGUCAGCUCGUGUCGUGAGAUGUUGGGUUAAGUCCCGCAACGAGCGCAACCCUUAUUGCCAGUUACUACGUUAAGAGGACUCUGGCGAGACUGCCAUUGACAAAACGGAGGAAGGUGGGGAUGACGUCAAAUCAUCAUGCCCUUUAUGACCUGGGCUACACACGUACUACAAUGGCGUUAAACAAAGAGAAGCAAGACCGCGAGGUGGAGC